CGCUGGCGGCAGGCCUAACACAUGCAAGUCGAACGCCCCCUUCGGGGGGAGUGGCGAACGGGUGAGUAACGCGUGGGAACCUGUCCUGAGGUACGGGACAACCGCUGGAAACGGCGGCUAAUACCGUAUGUCUCCCCUGAUAGAGAUAUUGGGGGGGAAAGUCUUCGGACGCCUUGGGGUGGGCCCGCGUCGGAUUAGGUAGUUGGUGGGGUAACGGCCUACCAAGCCGACGAUCCGUAGCUGGUCUGAGAGGACGACCAGCCACACUGGGACUGAGACACGGCCCAGACUCCUACGGGAGGCAGCAGUGGGGAAUAUUGGACAAUGGGCGAAAGCCUGAUCCAGCCAUGCCGCGUGGGUGAAGAAAGCCUUAAGGUUGUAAAGCCCUUUCGACGGGGAAGAUGAUGACGGUACCCGUAGAAAAGCCCCGGCUAACUCCGUGCCAGCAGCCGCGGUAAUACGGAGGGGGUUAGCGUU
rnacentral:rRNA from 1 species